rnacentral:tmRNA from 1 species
GGGGAUGACAAGGUCUCGACGUGAAGAUUUGCACAUUGAUAAAUGGCAAGAGCGCACCAAUGCGUUAAAUGGAAAACUCUAUCUGCAAACUCUAAAUUUGAGAAUGCAGUAGCUAGUUUGAAAGCUGGCAUUCGAGCUGGUCUCGAUGGUGCUGCAGCUGAUUUUGCUACCCUCACAGGUGCACGUCAGUAUGCGACCUUAAAUGCAUAAGCGCAUAUUAGCUAUUCCCUUUGAAUAACCUCCGAUAGUUCUUAGGGGUACAACCUUCGGGGUACGAUCCUGGAUGUAGUUCUCGAUCUGUUUUCAGGGUCCGACAAGAAUUAAAAUCGGCAGCCUGAUUGUGGUUUGUAUGCAUUCCACAUCAAGCACGAGAAAAAAACAUACUAUCUCUUCCGCUAAAAGCGGAUCCGCCUCUGGCGGAUGCUACACAUUUUUCAAAAGUGCCUUUACGGACCCGGGUUCGACUCCCGGCAUCUCCACUU